GGAGAGGUGCUGGAGCGGUUUAACAGGCACGUCUGGAAAGCGUGUGUCGUCGUAAGGCGACCGCGGGUUCGAAUCCCGCCCUCUCCGCCA
rnacentral:tRNA from 1 species